rnacentral:rRNA from 1 species
GAUGAACGCUGGCGGCGUGCCUAAUACAUGCAAGUCGAGCGAACGGACGAGAAGUUUGUUUCUUUGACGUUAGCGGCGGACGGGUGAGUAACACGUGGAUAACCCACCUAUAAGACUGGGAUAACCUCGGGAAACCGGAGCUAACACCGGAUAAUCUCUUGAACCGCAUGGUUCAAAAGAGAAAGACGGUCUUUCUGUCUCUUAUCGAUGGAUCCGCGCUGCAUUAGCUAGUUGGUAGGGUAACGGCCUACCAAGGCAACUAUGCAUAGCCGAGCUGAGAGAGUGAUCGGCCGCCCUGGAACUGAGACGCGGUCCAGACUCCUGCGAGAGGCAGCAGUAGGGAAUCUUCCGCAAUGGGCGAGAGCCUGACGGAGCAGCGCCGCGUGAGUUGUGGAGGUCUUGGGAUCGUAAAACUCUGUUAUUAGGGAAGAACAUAUGUGUAAGUAACUGUGCACAUCUUGACGGUACCUAAUCAGAAAGCCACGGCUAACUACGUG